rnacentral:lncRNA from 1 species
GAGCCUUAUAAUUCCGUGGUUCAACAACGUUGCUGUCUUUAAUACAUUGCUUUGUUUUUUUCCUUAUUUAUCUUGUUUUUUUCAUUUUAGCUUAACUCGGGCUGUUGGUUUUCUCUAGCUUUCUCCUAGAUUGAAGAAUGCCAUCAAAGCUGUUGUAAACGAAAGUGCUCCGGAAGGGUAGAUAGUUCAUGCUCAACUAGUAACUUUCUAUUCCAAUUAAAAAGAACCUUUAUUGAGCAGUUUCAUAUGUACAUCCCAUAUAAAUUAUUAUUUUCGACAGUAAUUUUGCCUCAGACAAAUCUGUUUGAUUUACUAUAACUUUG